AAGCCAUUAGGUGUAGGCGCUUUCCAGAGGUGGAAGAUUUACGUUCUUCCUAUUUGACCCGAAACCGAUCGAUCUAGCCAUGAGCAGGUUGAAGAGAGCUCUAACAGGCCUUGGAGGACCGAACCCACGUAUGUGGCAAAAUACGGGGAUGACUUGUGGCUAGGGGAGAAAGGCCAACCAAGAUCGGAUAUAGCUGGUUUUCCGCGAAAUCUAUUUCAGUAGAGCGUAUGAUGUCGAUGGCCCGAGGUAGAGCACUCAAUGGGCUAGGGUGGCCCCCAUUUCGCUUUACCAACCCCAGGGAAACUCCGAAUACAGGCCGUCAUCCUUAGUACAGA
rnacentral:ncRNA from 1 species